ACUGCUCAGUAACACGUGGAUAAUCUGCCCUUAGGUGGGGGAUAAUCUCGAGAAAUUGAGCAUAAUACCCCAUAGUUCUAGAUUGCUGGAAUGCUUCUAAAAUGAAAGCUCAGGCGCCUAAGGAUGAGUCUGCGGCCUAUCAGGUUGUAGUGAGUGUAACGGACUCACUAGCCGACGACGGGUACGGGUCCUGGAAGGGAGCGCCCGGAGAUGGACUCUGAGACACGAGUCUAGGCCCUACGGGGCGCAGCAGCUACGAAAACUUCACAAUGCGGGAAACCGUGAUGAGGGGAUUCCAAGUGCUAAUACUUUGUAUUAGCUGUUUACUUGCCUAAAAAGCAGGUAGAGUAAGGGCUGGGCAAGACUGGUGCCAGCCGCCGCGGUAAUACCAGCAGCUCAAGUGGUGAUCGUUAUUAUUGGGCCUAAAGCGUCCGUAGCCUGCUUGGUAAACCCUUGGGUAAAUCGGGCAGCUUAACUGUCCGACUUCUGAGGAGACUGCCAGGCUUGGGACCGGGAGAGGUCAGAGGUACUUCUAGGGUAGAGGUGAAAUUCUGUAAUCCUAGGAGGACCACCAGUGGCGAAGGCGUCUGACUAGAACGGGUCCGACGGUAAGGGACGAAACCCUGGGGCGCGAACCGGAUUAGAUACCCGGGUAGUCCAGGGCGUAAACGCUGCGGGCUUGGUGUUGGGGGUCCUACGAGGGCGUCCAGUGCCGGAGAGAAGUUGUUAAGCCCGCCGCCUGGGGGAGUACGAUCGCAAGAUUGAAACUUAAAGGAAUUGGCGGGGGAGCAC
rnacentral:rRNA from 1 species